AGAUGCGGGGGUGAUGUGGCAACAUCUGUCACCCCACUGAUUCCCAGGGUUGAUUCAGCUCAUCUGUGUGGCAAGGCCAGUGUCCCCUUCCUCCCUCGCCACUCCACGUGUGUCCUCCCCAAAGCUGCUUGCUUGACUAAAGAGGACCUUUCCCCAUACAGAUGGACAGGUCUUGGUAUAGAAGCAGCCACGCCUCCUGCUGAACCUCCAAACUAACUCUCUAGGUCUGUAAGUGAACUCAGCAAGAACACUCCCAGGGCUCCUGCAAGACAGCUCACCUGAAUGGCAUGCCUGCUUUCUCAU
rnacentral:snRNA from 1 species